AAAUCGAUAUUUUAUAAUAUCAUUCCAUAUAAGGUUUAGAAAAGAAAUCAGCCUAUUAUAUUGAUUUGGUCAAUAUUUUAUAAUAUCCAUGGAUUAGGUCAAAUUUUGUGGACUUAUCAAUAUGAUAUAUAUGCAUUGAAACACCACGACGACCCAGUUAUGAGUCUGGCGGUGAAAUUUUCCCCCAUUCAUAGCCACUCAGAUUUGGAAUCCCUCCAUCUUCAAAUCCGCACCACUUUCCAUAAUCUUCACAUAGGCAAUUUCUCAAACAGUAGGCGCAAAAUCAGUCUUUGUCUUUGAAUUUCGAUGACACAAAUUAGGGAUGUGCGUCAUCCAUGGCUGCAAACCCUUCUUCUCAACAACUACAGAUUCAUCCAUGGCUGCAAAAGAAGGCAGAUUCAGUAUAUCUCUCUUUCAAUAUCGAGGGCCCUAAUUUGGGA
rnacentral:lncRNA from 1 species